UGGAUCAGAAAUCAGAUCACAUUCUUCCCUCCCUCCUACUUGAGAGUCAUAAUCAAUAGUUUAGAGAAGCACGGUUGCUUUUCUUUCUUAGUUAUCUGAGCCUUCAAAGGAGAAUGAAAUAAUGAAAGAAUACCUGCUGUGUUGCAUAAGUUGGGGGUUUGUCAGUACUUCAGAUAUACAGUAAGAUUAAACUGUGAGUUGUGAGAUGGCAGUAAUAAUACUUCAUAUUUAGUAUGUGAAUAUAUGCCAGGCUUUUGUGUGUGUGGUGUGUAACUAAGGAGAUCGACUGGGUGUGGCUGCAUGACGAGUGGAGGGUAGUCCGUACCGCUGUACACGAUCCUAGCACUUGAGUCAGCGACAAGUGUUUCAUAUGUAUGGCUUUCCUUAAAAAGGUUACCUACUCAAGCCGACUGCACUUACCUUUACACACAUCAAGUUGGUAGGUUAUUCAGCUUUUUUUUUUGCAAAGCUACCUGUAGUGCCAGAUAAUUCUGUAACAGUCUGAAUUGAAUCUCAAACUCAUUGACGUGUGUGUUAGCAAUUGCAAUAAUUUUAUCAGUUACUGCAGUCACGCCAACAUUUCCAUUGUAGUAUGAGACAUUAGUUGGUGUUUAAACUAGGCAUAUUUGUAUUGCCCGGCAUUGUACAACUGUGAAUGUAGUGUUGAUUAAGCAUUGUAGAGUAAGGAACACGUAAAUUAAUUUUCACACUUACCUCUCUCUGAAUAUUUUACUGGUUCUAAAUUAUCUGUCAAUGUGUGUCUGAAGCAUCUGUUGCUAUGGUGGUUUGAUACUAAAUCCAGAAUUAAAAGGCUGUGCAAUAUUGUAAUAAUGAGUUGCCACUUUUUGUUGUAGGGCUGCCUUCUUUGAUUAAUACAUUUUUUUUUUUUUUUGUAAGCAAAGAGUAUAGACUCUGGCACUUCAGUGUAGAAGUCAACCACCCCUUUGGGAAGGGGACUUUUCCUGAUCAAAUGAAGUCAGAAGUAUAUAUCAUAUAAUCUCUCGCAUAUUCAGAUACUGGCCUCUUACUGAGACAAAGUAUUGUAUGUUUUGUGUCUUAAUAGUCCCAUUAAGUCCAAUAAAUCUUGUGAUCUUUAGCAGAACAAUUGCAAAAUAUGGGAGCUAGAAGUGAAGCUAUUUAUGUCAGAUAUUUGUGUUACGUCAGCAGGAACAAAUAUUAUUUCUAUAUAUUUGACUCAUUCCAGAGUCCAGAUAGCAGUAUUAGUGAUGUCACUGAUUUUGUCAUGUGCUAUCAACAGAGGCCUAUUCACUUUAAAAGUUCAAUUAAAUGGCUUAUGUAAAGGGUGGAAUCUCAUUAUUAAUAACCCUCUAUAUCACAAAACCUAGUACUUGAAAUUUGCUGGUUCAUAGUUAGCUCUGGUGUGGUAGAGAAAGCAGGAAGUGUACAGUCUUAUCGAAAGAAGAAGUUACAAAGUAACUGUGAAAAUCACAUUUUCAAAUCACUAUGGAUACAGAUUUUCCAUAGUCAAGAAUCUUUAAAAAGCUAGGAUAAGAGUACUCAUUCAUGAAUGUUAGGUUUUUAAUAUUUUGCAAAUAUUUUGCGUCCUACUCUGUCCCUACGAGCAUGGCACUGAACAUUGCUCUCGGCUCGUGCUGUCUCCUGGCUGGCUGGACAGGAGGACCAGUGAAGUAAGUACAUCACUGUGCCCCGAGCACACGGCCACGUUCCUCCUUGGCUCUGAAUGUGCCACCUAUCAUCUAACACUUUUAAUCUUUAGAGCGCUCAGCAAGUACUACCACUGCCAGGACAAAUAAUACCGCUGUUGUGGCCAGAUGGACAAAUACAUGAUUUCAGCCCUGUUCAGGAAAUAGAUAGUAAAGUUAACUAACUUGCCAAACAUGACAGAAGCAUUUAGAGUCAAGAGAGUAGAGACCACAGUCAAUAGAUACUUGGGCACGUGCUUAAAUUCCUUCCUUUGCACAGAUGUUUAUAUUAUUUGUUUAAAUGUCCUGCUAAGCUUGUGCUAGAAGGCUUCACUCUUCUGAUCCUUGGUGUGAUGCUCCAUCAGCAUAGCUUGUGUUACAAUACUUUAUUUGGAAAAGCUCUCCUAUUGCUCAGUCUUUUCCAUAAGCUACACUUAAACACACAACAAAUUAUUAAUACAUACAAGCAGUUGUCAUGGAGAUAAUAUGGUCCAAGGUGGUUUUUAUUUUUUAAUAAGUGACACAAACUUGGCACAUCCCACAUGCCUUGUACAGACAAUUCCUGCAUAAUGUUUCCUGCGUUAGGCACGGGAUAGAUAUCUAUCUUUGCUUUUUUGUGCCAGCACACUAUGGAGAAACCACUGUUUCUGGCUUUCAAAUGGUUGGCUUUAGGAAUCUGAAAAAUGUAGGACUUGUAAGAGGUGGGGUUUUUUUCAAGUCACAACAUCUUAGCGAGGGGCUGCACUGCUCACUUCUGUGAAAUCUCAAACACAAUGUGAUGGCUGAAUUAUGGCUAAAACCUCUGCAGGAUAUAUUUUCUCUCCUCAUCUUGGUGCAUAGACUUACAGCAAAAUGCAGUAACUAAUCCAAAAGAAGGCAGCUGGCUAAUGUAGCUGGGGAGGCUUCAGGGCCGUAAUGAGGAUCGUUUUCUUUGGAACAAGACUGCAAUCCUAUUAACUGCCUAUAAAUCCAGAAGGACCAAGUGCUGUACCUGCAGACUUAAGGAUAUUAAGCCUGAGCUCUCAGAGAUGUUUUGCCCUUGCUUGUCAUAACAUUUCUGCUCUUUUACUGUGCCCGUGCAAAGUAGUACACAGUGCAUUUCAACCAAUAAGUAGGACUCUUGCCUUUAUUCUGUGCCUUUUUCUUGUCUUGUCCUGGAGAUCCUGGCUUAAGUGUAACUUAAGCCAGGCAGCACCUAACUGAUGUAGCCAUUCUGUAGCCUAUUUAUUUGAGUGAAUGAAAGACAUUCUCUGCAUAUUAUAGCUAUUGUAUUUUUUUUCCAGAUACUUACUCUUCAGGUAAUACUACAUCACAGUUACUGUCAUAAUGACCUUCAUCUGGGCCAAGCAACUAGAGAGUUAAUCUGUAGAAAGACUGCAAAAAAAGGAUUGCAGUAAGAAAAUGUGAGGUAUUCCUCCAUCGCUUUCCUGCCAGCUGGUGCAACUUUUUCUCCACUAAAUCUAAAGAAUGCCAUUGAACAGAGGUUGAAGAAGUACAGCUUUUACUGUCAGUAACACCCCACAACCAACAAGAAAGGAUAUCUGUUUGCAACACUUCAAAGUAAUGCUUGACCUAAGGUAAUUUAUCCUCAGUUCACACCCAGUGAAUGCCAACAAUUGAGGAUACCGCCUGGCCUCUUGAAUCACGCUGUAGUUACUCGGCUGUUAAUGUGUAUCUGUUCAUCUUGCUGCAGACCCAUCAUCAAUCAGGGCUGAUAACAGAAAACAGCAAGGAUGCUGGACUUCAGGAAGUAUCAUCCCUGAAAAACCUGUCUCUUUAUCAAAUACUCUGAGGAGGAGGUGCCCGACUGCUUGACAAAAAGGACAUUCUGAACAGGUGAGUUCUUACAUCAUUGUUGUGAAGGUACUUGAUUGCUUGGACUAACUGGAAAAGGUAUUUUUAAGCCUUUUGUUAUCCAAUCCAUGGCAAUAAUGCUCAUCUAGAAUUGUAUGACUGAUAAAUUCAAACACCAAGUCUUUUUCUCUGCCUAAAUACAUGAAUCAGGUUGACAAUAUUCUUACGAUGAAAUCGUUGUUGGUAAAAGAAGAAAAACACUUUCU